GUANCUACACUGACNAGNCNCGCNNUAUGCAUCUAGCAUNGAGGCCGUUGUUUNUAUAGAGAUCUCACACCUGGCCGCUCGGUCUUGCNNAGCCUAACACAUGCAAGUCGGGCGGUAACACAGGGAGCUUGCUCCUGGGUGACGAGCGGCGGACGGGUGAGUAAUGUCUGGGAAACUGCCUGAUGGAGGGGGAUAACUACUAGGAAACGGUAGCUAAUACCAGCAUAACGUCUNUCGGACCAAAGUGGGGGACCUUCGGGCCUACAUGCCAUCAGAUAGUGCCCAGAUGGGAUUAGCUAGUAGGUAGGGUGUAACGGCUACACCUAGGCGACGAUCCCUAGCUAGGUACUAGAGAGGAUAGACCAGCCACACUGGAACUGAGACACGGUCCAGACUACCCACGGGAGGCAGCAGUGGGGAAUAUGCCGGCGCACU
rnacentral:rRNA from 1 species